UAGCGGCAGGCCUAACACAUGCAAGUCGAGGGGUAACAAGUCUAGCUUGCUAGAUGUUGACGACCGGCGCACGGGUGCGCAACGCGUAUACAAUCUACCCCCUACUGUGGGAUAGCCCAGAGAAAUUUGGAUUAAGACCACAUGGUACCAUUUUACGGCAUCGUAUUAAUGGUUAAAGGUUACGGUAGGGGAUGAGUAUGCGUCCCAUUAGUUAGUUGGCGAGGUAACGGCUCACCAAGACCGCGAUGGGUAGGGGCCCUGAGAGGGGGAUCCCCCACACUGGUACUGAGACACGGACCAGACUCCUACGGGAGGCAGCAGUGAGGAAUAUUGGACAAGUAGGAGCGGCGAGRCCUGAUCCAGCCAUGCCGCGUGCAGGAAGAAUGCCCUAUGGGUAGUAAACUGCUUUUAUACGGGAAGAAAAAGAGCUACGUGUAGSCUUACUGACGGUACCGUAAGAAUAAGGACCGGCUAACUCCGUGCCAGCAGCCGCGGUAAUACGGAGGGUCCGAGCGUUAUCCGGAAUUAUUGGGUUUAAAGGGUCCGUAGGCGGGCCGAUAAGUCAGUGGUGAAAGUUUGCAGCUCAACUGUAAAAUUGCCUUUGAUACUGUCGGUCUUGAGUUAUAGUGAAGUUGCCGGAAUAUGUAGUGUAGCGGUGAAAUGCAUAGAUAUUACAUAGAACACCGAUUGCGAAGGCAGGUGACUAACUAUAUACUGACGCUGAUGGACGAAAGCGUGGGGAGCGAACAGGAUUAGAUACCCUGGUAGUCCACGCCGUAAACGAUGGAUACUAGCUGUUCCGGGUCCUUGAGRACCUGGGCGGCCAAGCSGAAAGUGAUAAGUAUCCCACCUGGGGAGUACGUUCGCAAGAAUGAAACUCAAAGGAAUUGACGGGGGCCCGCACAAGCGGUGGAGCAUGUGGUUUAAUUCGAUGAUACGCGAGGAACCUUACCAGGGCUUAAAUGCAUUUUGACAGGGGUAGAGAUACCUUUUCCUUCGGGCAAUUUGCAAGGUGCUGCAUGGUUGUCGUCAGCUCGUGCCGUGAGGUGUCAGGUUAAGUCCUAUAACGAGCGCAACCCCUACCGUUAGUUGCCAGCGAGUCAUGUCGGGGACUCUAACGGGACUGCCGGUGCAAACCGUGAGGAAGGUGGGGACGACGUCAAAUCAUCACGGCCCUUACGUCCUGGGCCACACACGUGCUACAAUGGCCGGUACAGCGGGAAGCCAUGCGGUAACGCAGAGCGGAUCCACAAAACCGGUCACAGUUCGGAUCGGGGUCUGCAACUCGACCCCGUGAAGCUGGAAUCGCUAGUAAUCGGAUAUCAGCCAUGAUCCGGUGAAUACGUUCCCGGGCCUUGUACACACCGCCCGUCAAGCCAUGGAAGCCGGGAGUGCCUGAAGUCCGUCACCGCAAGGAGCGGCCUAGGGCAAGAUCGGUAACUAGGGCUAAGUCGUACAGUAGCGGCAGGCCUAACACAUGCAAGUCGAGGGGUAACAAGUCUAGCUUGCUAGAUGUUGACGACCGGCGCACGGGUGCGCAACGCGUAUACAAUCUACCCCCUACUGUGGGAUAGCCCAGAGAAAUUUGGAUUAAGACCACAUGGUACCAUUUUACGGCAUCGUAUUAAUGGUUAAAGGUUACGGUAGGGGAUGAGUAUGCGUCCCAUUAGUUAGUUGGCGAGGUAACGGCUCACCAAGACCGCGAUGGGUAGGGGCCCUGAGAGGGGGAUCCCCCACACUGGUACUGAGACACGGACCAGACUCCUACGGGAGGCAGCAGUGAGGAAUAUUGGACAAGUAGGAGCGGCGAGRCCUGAUCCAGCCAUGCCGCGUGCAGGAAGAAUGCCCUAUGGGUAGUAAACUGCUUUUAUACGGGAAGAAAAAGAGCUACGUGUAGSCUUACUGACGGUACCGUAAGAAUAAGGACCGGCUAACUCCGUGCCAGCAGCCGCGGUAAUACGGAGGGUCCGAGCGUUAUCCGGAAUUAUUGGGUUUAAAGGGUCCGUAGGCGGGCCGAUAAGUCAGUGGUGAAAGUUUGCAGCUCAACUGUAAAAUUGCCUUUGAUACUGUCGGUCUUGAGUUAUAGUGAAGUUGCCGGAAUAUGUAGUGUAGCGGUGAAAUGCAUAGAUAUUACAUAGAACACCGAUUGCGAAGGCAGGUGACUAACUAUAUACUGACGCUGAUGGACGAAAGCGUGGGGAGCGAACAGGAUUAGAUACCCUGGUAGUCCACGCCGUAAACGAUGGAUACUAGCUGUUCCGGGUCCUUGAGRACCUGGGCGGCCAAGCSGAAAGUGAUAAGUAUCCCACCUGGGGAGUACGUUCGCAAGAAUGAAACUCAAAGGAAUUGACGGGGGCCCGCACAAGCGGUGGAGCAUGUGGUUUAAUUCGAUGAUACGCGAGGAACCUUACCAGGGCUUAAAUGCAUUUUGACAGGGGUAGAGAUACCUUUUCCUUCGGGCAAUUUGCAAGGUGCUGCAUGGUUGUCGUCAGCUCGUGCCGUGAGGUGUCAGGUUAAGUCCUAUAACGAGCGCAACCCCUACCGUUAGUUGCCAGCGAGUCAUGUCGGGGACUCUAACGGGACUGCCGGUGCAAACCGUGAGGAAGGUGGGGACGACGUCAAAUCAUCACGGCCCUUACGUCCUGGGCCACACACGUGCUACAAUGGCCGGUACAGCGGGAAGCCAUGCGGUAACGCAGAGCGGAUCCACAAAACCGGUCACAGUUCGGAUCGGGGUCUGCAACUCGACCCCGUGAAGCUGGAAUCGCUAGUAAUCGGAUAUCAGCCAUGAUCCGGUGAAUACGUUCCCGGGCCUUGUACACACCGCCCGUCAAGCCAUGGAAGCCGGGAGUGCCUGAAGUCCGUCACCGCAAGGAGCGGCCUAGGGCAAGAUCGGUAACUAGGGCUAAGUCGUACAG
rnacentral:rRNA from 1 species